rnacentral:rRNA from 1 species
GACAGAGGUGCCGAGCGUUAGGCGGAAUCACUGGGCUUAAAGCGUGUGUAGGCGGACUUCUAAGUACCUUGUGAAAUCCCAUGGCUCAACCAUGGAACUGCUUGGUAUACUGCCAGUCUUGAGGCACUCAGGGGCAAGCGGAACAGAUGGUGGAGCGGUGAAAUGCGUAGAUAUCAUCUGGAACGCCAAUGGUGAAGACAGCUUGCUGGGGGUGUUCUGACACUGAGACACGAAAGCCAGGGGAGCAAACGGG